rnacentral:sRNA from 1 species
UCCGUAGGUGAACCUGCGGAAGGAUCAUUACCUAGAGUUUGUAGACUUCGGUCUGCUACCUCUUACCCAUGUCUUUUGAGUACCUUCGUUUCCUCGGCGGGUCCGCCCGCCGAUUGGACAACAUUCAAACCCUUUGCAGUUGCAAUCAGCGUCUGAAAAAACAUAAUAGUUACAACUUUCAACAACGGAUCUCUUGGUUCUGGCAUCGAUGAAAAACGCAGCGAAAUGCGAUAAGUAGUGUGAAUUGCAGAAUUCAGUGAAUCAUCGAAUCUUUGAACGCACAUUGCGCCCCUUGGUAUUCCAUGGGGCAUGCCUGUUCGAGCGUCAUUUGUACCUUCAAGCUCUGCUUGGUGUUGGGUGUUUGUCUCGCCUCUGCGUGUAGACUCGCCUUAAAACAAUUGGCAGCCGGCGUAUUGAUUUCGGAGCGCAGUACAUCUCGCGCUUUGCACUCAUAACGACGACGUCCAAAAGUACAUUUUUACACUCUUGACCUCGGAUCAGGUAGGGAUACCCGCUGAACUUAAGCAUAUCAAUAAGCGGAGGAAAAGAAACCAACAGGGAUUGCCCUAGUAACGGCGAGUGAAGCGGCAACAGCUCAAAUUUGAAAUCUGGCGUCUUUGGCGUCCGAGUUGUAAUUUGCAGAGGGCGCUUUGGCAUUGGCAGCGGUCCAAGUUCCUUGGAACAGGACGUCACAGAGGGUGAGAAUCCCGUACGUGGUCGCUAGCCUUUACCGUGUAAAGCCCCUUCGACGAGUCGAGUUGUUUGGGAAUGCAGCUCUAAAUGGGAGGUAAAUUUCUUCUAAAGCUAAAUACUGGCCAGAGACCGAUAGCGCACAAGUAGAGUGAUCGAAAGAUGAAAAGCACUUUGGAAAGAGAGUUAAAAAGCACGUGAAAUUGUUGAAAGGGAAACGCUUGAAGU